UAAAAGAACAGCUGGUACUGGUGUCAUGUAAUAAGAGGAAUGACUGUUGAUUUAGUUAUUGCCAGUCUUGGUUAAACUGUAUUGCCACAUUCAUUUGGUACAACACAUGGGUCAUAGAUACCCUGAUGAAGACAGCUACUCCUGAAACUCAUUGAAACGUUGGUAAUAAACUAUUGCAUCGGAGCACCUCGUGUGCGGCUAUUUCUUUUGUUAAAAAAGCCAGCACCUCGUCAAACCAGAGACUGGUAUAGAAAAGUUCCCGGCCGCCCUGGCGCCCUCUGGCCCUCCGCCGGCUCCUGACCCUCCGGCUCUCCCGGCUCCUGAUCUUCCGCCGGUUCUGCCUCCCCUGCCUGUCCCGACGGCUCCGCCACCCUGUUUUAGAGAAUGUAACCAUGCCAGACCACAUGUAUCCACGCCAGACCCCAUGAAACCACGGCAGACCCCAUGAAACCACGCCAGACCCCAUGAAACCACGGCAGACCCCAUGAAACCACGCCAGACCGCAUGUAACCACGCCAGACCCCAUGAAACCACGCCAGACCCCAUGAAACCACGCCAGACCCCAUGAAACCACGCCAGACCCCAUGAAACCACGCCAGACCCCAUGAAACCACGCCAGACCGCAUGUAACCACUGCAGACCGCAUGUAACCACGGCAGACCGCAUGUAACCACGGCAGACCGCAUGUAACCACGGCAGACCGCAUGUAACCACGCCAGAUCCCAUGUACCCACGCCAGAUCCCAUGUACCCACGCCAGAUCCCUUGUAACCACGGCAGACCGCAUGUAACCACGGCAGACCGCAUGUACCCACGCCAGAUCCCAUGUAACCACGCCAGACCGCAGACCUCCAUGUCCAGCGUCUCCACUUGUGGGACCAUCUAAACCGACCAACUGGCCGGCUGAUUAGACUUUGUAUUUGCAAAAAACUGAAGAAUUACUGCAGAAACUGUUCCCCACCUCAGGGAACCUCAUCUGCAUAUUCACCAUCAUCACCAGGGUUUUGUCCAGACCGAAGUUCGCCACUGUAACAGACCACCGCUCAUCUUUCAUGAAGCCUUGUUCAAGUAGUGUGCAUCUCACCCAGUUUCAACUGUACCAGUCACUAACUCCAAGUGAUAUCUUUGAAACUGUUGUAAAUCGUAGAUUAAAUUUUUUUUUUAGUUUACCCGAAUAGUUUAAAAAGGGGAAACAAUAUCUUUUGUCCUUCAUGGAUUGAGACACUGCACUUCUCCACUCUCUCUUUCGCUAAAGGGAAGCCAAAUCACAUGCUCACGUACUUCAAUACAACCUGACAAACAUAUUUCAACCAUAGUGAAACUCACCUGUUUUCAUGGCUAGCUCAAUGUUACAGUCAGAGAACUCAUGUCUCUUGCUCACGGUACAAACAUGAGACCCAAAGUCUUCUGUCCGAACUUCUGUGAUGGUAAGAGUGAUCUUCUUUGGUUUAUAGUCCAGUGAGUAACCCUGGCUGCAGUUCAGGAAGGCCUUAAGAUAAAAUCACAACAAUGUAGAAUGUAGAGUGCCUUUUGAAUGUAUUCAGACCCUUUCACUUUCUCCAAAUGUUUUUGUGUUAU
ensembl:lncRNA